GUAGGUGAACCUGCGGAGGAUCAUUAAAAAAUGAGACCUGAUUCAAGGUCUAUAAUACCUACCUUUGUGAAUUUGUUUGUUUUAAUAUGUGUCUUUCCCUGUUUGGUUUGAAGCUUUGUUUAAAAGUUUCGAACCUUCAGGGGAAUGGCAAAACUUUUUUUUAAAAUUAAACUUUUUGUAUUCAUUUGUCUAAAAUUAUUUUUAUAAUAUAAAACAACUUUUGACAAUGGAUCUCUUGGUUCUCGCAACGAUGAAGAACGCAGCAAAUGCGAUAAGUAGUGUGAAUUGCAGAAUACGUGAAUCAUCGAAUCUUCGAACGCAUAUUGCACUUUUUUGGUUUACCAAAAAGUAUGUCUGUUUGAGUAUCAGUAAAAUAUUCUCGUAAAAACUAUUUGUUUUUAUGGUUAUGAGUGUUUUACAACGAUAAACAAGUUGUUUCACUUUAAAUUCUUUGUCUUUUAAAAAUCAUUAAAACUGAUUUUUUUUUAAAAUUGGAUAAAAUUUCCCGUAAAAGGAAUAACCUAAACAAUUUUAAUUAAAAUUGGUUUGAUUCUUUAAGACUUAAAGGAAAAAAAGUAAAAAUUAACUUGAUCUCAAAUCAGAUAAGAGUACCCGCUGAACUUAAGCAUAUCAAUAAGCGGAGGAAAAGAAACUAACUAGGAUCCUCAGUAACGGCGAGUGAAGCGGGAAGAGCUCAAAUUUGAAAUCUUCAAGGUUCUACCUUGACGAAUUGUAGUUUAAAGAAGUGUUUUCUGUUGGAGUUUUGGUAAAGUUCUUGGAAUAGGACAUCAUAGAGGGUGAGAAUCCGUAUUUGACCAUUAUUUCCAACUUUGUGAUACACUUUCAAAGAGUCGGAUUGUUUGGGAAUGCAGUCCAAAAUGGGUGGUAAAUUUCAUCUAAGCUAAUACUGGCGAGAGACCGAUAGCGAACAAGUACCGUGAGGAAAGAUGAAAAGAACUUUGAAAGAGAGUUAAACAGUACGUGAAAUUGUCGAAAGGGAAGCGUUUGACACCAGUGUUGUUUCUCGAAAUCAAUUAAAAAUGGUGGGAUUUUGUGUUGUAUUGACUUUAUCAGCUUUCUGCACUUUUUUCCUAUCUUUUUUAAUGCACUUUUCGUUUAACAAGUCAACAUCAAUUUCUUUUGUUGUAAAAGGGUCAUUGGAAGGUGGCUUUCCUUUCGGAGAAAGUGUUUAUAGCCUUGACUCUGCAAUCGGAGAGAUUGAGGUC
rnacentral:misc_RNA from 1 species